UUCAGUUUUAGGAUAAAAACAAUUAAAAUUAAAAUCAUAAAAUGUUUGAUAUACCACUUGGUCUGUUCCCUCAAAGCUGUUAAAAUGUAACAUUUGAAAGAAUUUCCAUUAUUAGCACUAAUGCACAUCAGCAUAUUUAAACAAUGCAUUCUGUUUAGAAAAAAACAAAGCUCAGCCUAACAUUGAAAACCAGCUUCAUCUUCAUCCUGUAGCCUGUAACAGGCUCCCUGUAUUUGGAUGCUCAGGGUUACAGAAAUGGACAAGUCAGGCUGUACUGUUCUACAGGGCAUGUGCUUCCAGUCUCAAGACCUCACUGAGGAACUAGUUCACAUUUUCACUGAAGAUUCUGACUGUGAGGAUGAAGAAUUUAAAGACUUCGCCGAAGAUAACAUUAAGGCAGGUGACAAUACCAUGCCAGAGGAGCUAGUACAUUUCAGGAAGAUAGGGAUCAUGGUGAAGACUCCUUCACCCGUGUAAAGAGGACUGGCAUGCGCAUAGCCUUCAGGCUCCCGGUGAAACGAAGACGACAUGUCCGGGAGAAGCCUUUGGAGAAUAACUGGCAUUCUCAUCCACUUGGCCAAGUUCCAAGGCCACACCCCUGCGAAGGACUACUUGGACAAGUGAGCAGACUGUCAGAAGCCUUCAGAAAGAAUGUUAAAUCUACAUCGACUGUGUCUUCAUUCUUUCUGCUUGUAUUUUACUAUGCCUGCAUAUUUAUAUUUUAUGUUAUAAUUUUCGUUUGUGCUCCAAGCUCCUUUAGGCCUGCAG